UUUGCCCUGCCUAUGCUCGUGAUUAGAAACUAUGUCCUUGAACCGUAGUUGAUAAGUCAUGGGACUGUAGUUGCGGUUGUGGCCGACAGGCCUUGAUUGGAAGUCGAAAGCAGCCCGGCGGGUCCCGCCUGUUUCUAAAAUAAGUUCAAAGGAACUGUUACACACGGCACUGGCGGGGGUUUU
rnacentral:other from 1 species